GCUUGCAUCAUGAUUUACAUUUGAGUGAGUGGCGAACUGGUGAGUAACACGUGGGAAACCUGCCCAGAAGCGGGGGAUAACACCUGGAAACAGAUGCUAAUACCGCAUAACAACUUGGACCGCAUGGUCCGAGUUUGAAAGAUGGCUUCGGCUAUCUCUUUUGGAUGGUCCCGCGGCGUAUUAGCUAGAUGGUGGGGUAACGGCUCACCAUGGCAAUGAUACGUAGCCGACCUGAGAGGGUAAUCGGCCACAUUGGGACUGAGACACGGCCCAAACUCCUACGGGAGGCAGCAGUAGGGAAUCUUCCACAAUGGACGAAAGUCUGAUGGAGCAACGCCGCGUGAGUGAAGAAGGGUUUCGGCUCGUAAAACUCUGUUGUUAAAGAAGAACAUAUCUGAGAGUAACUGUUCAGGUAUUGACGGUAUUUAACCAGAAAGCCACGGCUAACUACGUGCCACAGCCGCGGUAAUACGUAGGUGGCAAGCGUUGUCCGGAUUAUUGGGCGUAAAGCGAGCGCAGGCGGUUUUUAAGUCUGAUGUGAAGCCUUCGGCUCACCGAAGAAGUGCAUCGGAA
rnacentral:rRNA from 2 species